rnacentral:rRNA from 1 species
AGCUCCACUAGCGUACACUAACAUUGUUGCAGUUAAAAAGCUCGUAGUUGGAUUCCAGCAUGUGUCGAUUCGACGCGCUCACAGAGUGUCUGUUGAUGUGACUAUUGCUUCUUACCAAGUCCCUCGCUAGCCUUAAGUGGUUGGCUUGGCGCAUUGGUUCCUUUACUUUGAGAAAAACAGAGCGUUCAAAGCAGGUCUCUGCUGUGAAUGUGCUAGCAUGGAAUAAUACCGCAUGACUUCGACUGCUCAGUCUUGGCUUGCGAGUUCGAAGUAAUGAUUGAAGGAAGCUGGUGGCGGGGUCAGUACGUUCAGGCGAGAGGUGAAAAUCGUAGACCCUGGGCAGACUAACAGCUGCGAAAGCGGUCCCCGAGCAUUUUUCCGUCAAUCAAGAACGAAAGUA